CGCGCCCGUCCCGCCGCCCCCGCCCGCCUACGGGAGGCAGCAGUAGGGAAUCUUCCACAAUGGACGAAAGUCUGAUGGAGCAACGCCGCGUGAGCGAUGAAGGCCUUCGGGUCGUAAAGCUCUGUUGUUAGGGAAGAACAAGUACCGGAGUAACUGCCGGUACCUUGACGGUACCUAACCAGAAAGCCACGGCUAACUACGUGCCAGCAGCCGCGGUAAUACGUAGGUGGCAAGCGUUGUCCGGAAUUAUUGGGCGUAAAGCGCGCGCAGGCGGUUUCUUAAGUCUGAUGUGAAAGCCCACGGCUCAACCGUGGAGGGUCAUUGGAAACUGGGAAACUUGAGUGCAGAAGAGGAAAGUGGAAUUCCACGUGUAGCGGUGAAAUGCGUAGAGAUGUGGAGGAACACCAGUGGCGAAGGCGACUUUCUGGUCUGUAACUGACGCUGAGGCGCGAAAGCGUGGGGAGCAAACAGGAUUAGAUACCCUGGUAGUCCACGCCGUAAACGAUGAGUGCUAAGUGUUAGAGGGUUUCCGCCCUUUAGUGCUGCAGCUAACGCAUA
rnacentral:rRNA from 2 species